rnacentral:rRNA from 1 species
AGUGAACGCUGGCGGUAGGCCUAACACAUGCAAGUCGAACGGCAGCACAGUAAGAGCUUGCUCUUACGGGUGGCGAGUGGCGGACGGGUGAGGAAUACAUCGGAAUCUACUUUUUCGUGGGUGAUAACGUAGGGAAACUUACGCUAAUACCGCAUACGACCUACGGGUGAAAGUAGGGGAUCUUCGGACCUUGCGCGAUUGAAUGAGCCGAUGUCGGAUUAGCUAGUUGGCGGGGUAAAGGCCCACCAAGGCGACGAUCCGUAGCUGGUCUGAGAGGAUGAUCAGCCACACUGGAACUGAGACACGAUCCAGACUCCUACGGGAGGCAGCAGUGGGGAAUAUUGGACAAUGGGCGCAAGCCUGAUCCAGCCAUACCGCGUGGGUGAAGAAGGCCUUCGGGUUGUAAAGCCCUUUUGUUGGGAAAGAAAAGCAGCAGGUUAAUACCCCGCUGUUCUGACGGUACCCAAAGAAUAAGCACCGGCUAACUUCGUG